UUCACUGGGGAAUAUUCAUCUUGAGAAGUAAAUAACCUUAAGGUCAGGUGAAACUUUCAGUGAUACAGAUUAAAAAAAAACCAACCCAGCCAAAGUAGUGUGCAGCGUAGGGAAUAAGAUAUGUGAACAGAUAACUAUGUUAUGAUUUUCAGGUUUACAAUCUGGCAGUGACCAUUUAUUUUCUCCAAUAUAGGAACUGAGUGUAAAAUUCUAUCCCAUUGCAAGUUUCCUUAUACUAGUUCCUUAGGCUUGGUCUACACUAAACCCCCAAAUCGAACUAAGGUACGCAACUUCAGCUACGUGAAUAACGUAGCUGAAGUCGACAUACCUUAGUUCGAACUUACCCCCGUCCAGACCCGGCAGGCAGGCUCCCCCGUCGACUCCGCGUACUCCUCGCGGCGAGCAGGAUUACCGGAGUCGACGGGGAGCACUUCUGAGUUCGAUUUAUCGCGUCCAGACUAGACGCGAUAAAUCGAACCCAGAAGUUCGAUUGCCUGCCGCCGAACCAGCGCGGUAAGUAUAGACAAGCCCUUAGUAUAAUCAAGCAACAGGAAAUUCGGAUACCAUAGCACAAAAUGAUUCAUUUUCUUUUUCUUGUAAAGUAACUACAAAACCUUUUUUUUUCCCCAGUCCAGAAGCUCUAAGACUCAUUUUAGGAACUUGCAUUAAUACAACUGUAUUAAGAAUUUUUCUUUUUGUGUGAAAUGUUCAAGCCAUGUAUAAUUCAAGAGAGCAAAUUGUGCCCUCCUGUAGGGGAAAAACAUAGAAAGGUACAAAACUCCCAGAGUUUCAGUUUAGAGUUAUUUCCAAAUAAUCCUAUUAGGAGUGGAUUCUAACCUUUAGAUAUCCAGAUGUCACAAGAUCAGUAUUUAUACAAAUGUUCUUUGGGAGUAUCCACAAAGGGCUCCCUGUGGCUAAUACUCCAGCCAAGCAGGCAUCUGCCUUCUGCAGCAAAUGCAAUUUCUGAGUGAGCUUCAAGGAUAGCCCAUGUAGAGCACAUAGCAGUAAUCCAAUAUCAACGUCUUAACGGAAUGGCCAGUGGUAAGGAGAGCCACAUGAGAGAGAACUGAUCAGUCACUUUACAAGAUACAAAUGCGAAAAGAGUUUUGUCACUGAAAGAACUUUGAAAUCCAGAAAAAAAAUAUGAGGAUCCAAAAGCAUGCUGUGAUGGGGUGUAUCAGGCCCUUCAUAGCCCCUUCCUGGAGGUCUUGUGGUCCUACUACACCUCACCCCAGGAAAGGAGUAGCGAAGCUGGGUCCUUCAGUUGUGCCUAGAGAGGCUGCAUGAAAGCAGUAAACCAGAGUCCAUCAGGCUCAGAUAAAAUGGGACCAAAGGGUAAGGAAGAGUGCUCCUCUCUGGCCAAAGGAACUUGAGCGACAACCAGAGUUCAGAGAGCGAGGACCUGAGAACUUUAACCAUGAGGUAAGAGGUGAAGAUAAAAGGGCCAGGUGGAAAGAGGCCCAGGUAAAUAGCAGUAACAAAUUUAAGUGGCUGCUGUUUAUAGGGCUUCGGGGUUAGAACCCAAAGUAGUGGGCAGGCCCAGGUUCUCCCACCAACCACUGGUGAAGUGCUAUAAAUCCCUAAAAGGGGACAAGGCUUGUUUGGAAGGACUGAAUUUUAAGGGCACUGUCCCCAACAUACCUUCCAGAUACUUCCUCCCCACUUACUAACCUCUGUCUUUUCUGGACUGAAUUUCAGAUGGAUCUUUUCCAUCAAAGAUAUUGUAUUGGCUAGACACUGGAAAAGCAAACUCACUCUCUAGGUUUUAUGAUUAAAGAAACAUAGAAUUCCAUGAUAGUUACAUACCCAUACAGGGAAAGCACAUUUCAAAUCCUGUGGAGCCCCACAUGAGAGCUAUGAGGAUUAAUAAGUAAAUUCCUAACACACUCUCUGAGAUCUUUCUGAGAAGCACUAAAGUAAUUCUGUCUUUUCUGUCAGGAUGUGCAAGUGAAUCAGUACACCUUCAUGAUCAAGGGAAUCGAAGGUUGUUAAAGUCAGCAUAAACAUUUGACCUCUAUCUUGCAUCUGAAGAAGUGAGGUUCUUACCCACGAAAGCUUAUGCUCCCAGUACUUCUGUUAGUCUCAAAGGUGCCACAGGACCCUCUGUUGCUUUUUACAGAUUCAGACGAACACGGCUACCCCUCUGAUAUUUAAAAAAACAAUUAUUCAAACUUAGAAAAGUCCAUUUUCCAUUUAGUGGUUUAUUUGUUUUCCAACUUUUAAAGUUUCUUCAUUUGUUUUUACUCUCCCAUAUUUUAAAAUUGUCUAAAUGAUUUUCCCCUCAGAUUUUCCAAAAAUAAUUUACCUUUGGACAGAGACAAAGCCUAGAAAGAUUCAGCUCAAAACAUGUGUCUGUUGGAGGCUAAUAGGGGAAGAUUGUGUAUUGUUUUUAAAUCAUAUGUGAGUGAAAAUAGGAAGUUAUAAUGGAAAUUGUUUUGAAAUCUUAAGUAUGAUAAACAUGGUCAGUGACAGGUGCAAUGUUAAUUUUAAGAAUUUAAUUUUAAUGGAGUUUAUCUUUGUAUAUUUUUUAGGAGUGUAUUAAUCUACAAACUCAUGUUUGUUACUGUUUCAGUUAUAUUACAGUAAUGCUUAGGAGCCCUAACCAGGAUUGCAUCCAUUCUGUUAGCCAGUGUACAAACAUAAGAAGACACAGUCCCUGGCCCGAGGAGACUCCAAACCACUGCAGCCAGACUGACCCAUCUGUUCCUUGGAGCUUGUCUAUAAAAAGGGGAGAGAGACGUCCCUUAGAAUUUUACCUCAGGGCACCUGGCAUUGGCCACUGUCGGAUGACAGGAUACUGGGCUAGAUGGACCUUUGGUCUGAUCCAAUAUGGCCGUUCUUAUAUUCUUAUGCACAUAUGUUGUAUAUGACAGCAGUGGACUCAGUUUUCUUACUAGAAAGGGCUUCAUUUACACAACAUAAACUCUGCAGUUGCAACCACCACCAUCAAAAGUGAAAAAAGAAGGCAAUCAUUUUGAAUAACAAUUGCAGAUUUUGUUCAGUGCAUCCCACAAGAGAAAUGUCUGCUGAUUUACUUGGAGAACUUGUACAACAAUGAAGUGUAAACAAGGCUACUGUAUUCAUUCUUUAUCUAAACUCAUAAUUUCGUGACUGAAGAGAAUCUGCUGAAAAGGUGAUAUUUUUAGGCUUCAUGAGCCUCCAUAAGAUACACCCAGAAUGUACAUGGCUCACCAUCAGAACGAAAUCUAGAACAACUCACUGAUGUGAUGGAAACUUAGCAGCUAAAACUCCCCAGCAAGGUCAGGUUUGAGAGAGAGAAAACAAAUGAACAAAUCACAAAAUCCUUUAAUGAAACUAGAGUGCUUGUAAUGGAGUCUCUCUUACAUCUGUAUUUUCCACCAUUAACCAACAGUAUGGACCCUCAGUUUCAUUCUCUGUGGUCUUUCACAGGGUUACAGGCCACUGUUGUGCUAUUGACUCUGGUGAAAAUCCAAAGUCUAUCCUUUCUUCUUCUGAA